GUCAUUGGUCUAAUAAGGACAGCAGGCCCACUCGAAUUGGUCACAUGGCCUUGGGGUCCCUUUCCCCAUUCAAAUUUUCAUUCCUCAUUUCUCUUCUCUCUCUAAAAAGAACCCUUGUGCCCUAAUCAGAAUUUUCUCUGUCUUCUCUCUAGGAUUCCAGCGAAUUCCACCGAUUGAAUCCUAAAUUAGUGGUGCUUCCUUGUUCCUAGAGUCAAGAGCUACGAAACCAUCUGAUUGGUUUCUUGUUUCUUCGGUGAGCGCAGUGUCAAGGUCACCGUUGGGAGCAUUCUCUAAAUUUUGAUUUUUAGCUUUCCAGAGGAGAAUGACGUCUCCGUUGAGAACGCUUUGGAAGAGAACCACGACACUGCUGCUACUUAGUUCCUUAGGAUUUUUUUUUUUAAACUGUUAAAUUCUAUUUGAACUCUGAUGUAUUUUGACAAACUUUAGUAUCUUCCCACGUG